rnacentral:rRNA from 1 species
UGGGGAAUUUUGCACAAUGGGGGAAACCCUGAUGCAGCUACGCCGCGUGAUUUAGAAGGCCUUCGGGUUGUAAAAAUCUUUUCUAUGGGAAGAAAAUGACAGUACCAUAGGAAUAAGGACCGGCUAAUUACGUGCCAGCAGCCGCGGUAAUACGUAAGGUCCGAGCGUUGUCCGGAAUCAUUGGGCGUAAAGGGUACGUAGGCGGGUAAGCAAGUUAGAAGUGAAAUCCUAUAGCUCAACUAUAGUAAGCUUUUAAAACUGCUCAUCUUGAGGUAUGGAAGGGAAAGUGGAAUUCCUAGUGUAGCGGAGAAAUGCGCAGAUAUUAGGAGGAAUACCGGUGGCGAAGGCGACUUUCUGGCCAUAACCUGACGCUGAGGUACGAAAGCGUGGGUAGCAAACAGG